CUGUUGUAUUCGGCGCAUGUGACAAACAAAAUUUUAUUUUAUUUGUUGUAUCAAUAUGUUUUGACCAUGACAGCUUUCUCAAUUUCCACAUGAUUUAUUACAAUAUUUAGUUGAGGUUUAGUGUUUAGUGAAUGAUUUGUCCCAAAACAAUGCUUUUAGUUUUUGAAAUAUUUAGGACAAACUUAUUCCUUGCCACCCAUUCUGAAACUAACUUCAGCUCUUUGUUAAGUGUUGCAGUCAUUUCAGUUGCUUAAGUAGCUGACAUGUAUAGCGUUGAGUCAUCUGCAUACAUCGACACACUGACUUUACUCAAAGCCAGUGGCAUGUCGUUAGUAAAUAUUUAAAAAAUGAAAGGGGCCUAGACAGCUGCCCUGGGGAAUGCCAAUAGCAUUGUAAGUUUUUUCCAAAACUUUACUAAGGGUUGCUAACAGGAUGAUUGGUUGGCUAUUUGAGCCAGUAAAGGGGGCUUUACUAUUCUUAGGGGAUCAUUGAUAAGUCAUUGUCUCAAUGAAGCCUUAUAAUGCUGUGAAAGGAUCCAGGAACCCAAAUGAUUUGGGUGGAUCCCAUCCUCCUUAUAAAACGUGUUUUGUUUCCAAAAGGUAUCGAAAUUGUCAACAAAAGUUACAGCCAUUGAGCUGCAAUAAUCACGUAGCCAGUUGUGAAGAGAAAGAAUCCUGCUAAAGCGUUCAAUACCACAAUUCAGAGAGGGCACAGGGCCAGAUAUGAUGUGCAUUUUAUUAGUGUCUAGCAGAGUCAAUCAGCUCUUAUAAAAAUCCAGUUUCAACUGUUCAGAGUGAUAGAAUCGAUAGAAUCAAUGUCAAUGUCCUAGCGUAAUACAUUCAGGAGCAGCUUAGUAAUGUAAUUUUCUUGUGCUCUGAGAUAGGGCAUUGGUUUUGCACCAGGAACAGUCACAUUUCUUACCAUGGAGCUGCCCAAAAUCCCGGCUGAUGAGAAGGACCAGGAAAUCUGCUCACUCCCACAUGUCAUAGGAAUGAUGCAGGUCUCCAUCAGAUGGAAGGUUGCCGAUGUCGACUUCUAAAUUGUAGGGGAAGUAGUAGGAGUAGGCCCAGUGGCCGCAGACACAGGCACCCCCAUCGACGAAGGUGCAGGAAGAUCAGGCUCCAGUGCGGCGAAAAUAUAUGUUGUUUGUAUCCGCUCCGGGCCUCUUGUUGGGGGUGUAGACUGCUUUGCAGGAAGCUGCUGUCUUUGACUUCCACGGCUCGUGACAUGCUACCAUCGUUGAUUGCCAUGCUCCUCUUGCUGUUUUUCUUCGACUCUGCUAUUAGAUGGGGGAGGAGAGGCAGGAGAUGGCUCCCCUGGCGCAUGAACUCCGGGCAACACUGGCCAGUCAGAUAAAGACAAACAACAAGAUGGACAUGCAUCCAACCCGUCUAGCCACCUCCGUAAAAAAGACUGUCCAGAGUCACAGAAGAGGCAAAAAUUAGCAGGAAUGUUGGAGGGUUUAGUGAAUGUGGGCUUGAUGGACUGUGAGUGACAGCUUUGAGGUGACCACCAGAACAGCCUUCUUCCCCCCGGCAGUUCAUUGAAGAGCAAGGGCAGCAUGCUGAGUUUGGACACCAGAGAGAUCUAUGGAGAGUUGAUGCAGCUUCUGCCUGACCUGGUGGCUCUUACUAAGGACACCUUUUAAGAGUAAACUGGCCCAUCGGUGGCUGGUCAGUUUUUCCUUUGGACAGAAGACCAUGGCGUCUCAUGAGUAUAAGGACCUCAAGGCUCUCCGGAAGGGG